GAAUAAGGCUACAGCACACCAACAAGCCCUCAACCGAUAUUCGGCUGGUGCUGGAGAUGACAAUAUCGACGAACAUGACAAAAAACAAGAGAGGCCUGAAGUUCAUCAAUGCGGACGCCAAUUAUAAUGCGGGACCUCGCCCAAGCAGCAGUGGUAAGCUUCCUUUACAUUAAUCCCCACACAUAAAAAGCAACCAAAUGUACAGUCAGUGCACUACCAGUUCGAUAAUCUCUCCAAUCUGUAAGAUCUAAUAUCGCUAAGGUUGAUUAUUACUUUAUUAUUUUACUCAUAGGGUCGUAGACCUUAUUUUCGCCCACUGCACAAAGAGAACUAUAAUUAGAAUAAUAUUCUACAUACCGUCCCUUAGCUUACAACACCGCUCAAGUCGAAAAUUGGCAGUUUCCACAUUUAAAUGCCUUUGGAUAGAUUCGCUCACUGCGCGUCUAACCAUUGGUCACAUGAUAUAGAUUUCGACCAAUCAGAUGCCGUAAUUCGAAAAGUAGGGGCAGCGCGCAAGUCGGUUGGCCUUU